AUGAAGCUAGUCACUUGCCAUCUGGCUACACCUGAGCAUGCCAAACCGUGUUUCAUGGAGGGAGUUCCAGAAAGAUACGUUGCAGACCUAAAGAAGGAAUGGCUUCUUAGGGCAGUUGCCCUGGUAGCUUCAAAAUCACUUCAGCUUUCCCUCAUCUUUCAUCAGAUGAACAGGUAGGUUAGUUUCAUAUUGUGAUUUUCUUACCUACUUUUUUCUGAUUCCCUCUGGUUUUUAUAGUGUGGCCUCUGAGACAGUUUUCUUAUGUUUUAAAAAUAAGUGUCUAUUAUAGAAUAUGUUCACUAAAAAUUGUCCAUGCUCAUUAGGUUUGGAAAACAAACGUAUAUAGAAAAAAAGAGAAAAAAGGCUAUAACCCCA
rnacentral:lncRNA from 1 species